AAAAAAUAAUUGUCUCAGAUUUUCAAAGUUAAGAAUUAAAAAAGGCGCUGAUAAGCUUUUUCAUUGAGUAACAUAUUUCCUCCAGUACAAACUAAAUGUAAAUGGGGAUCAAUGCACAUAGCAAAACUUCUAUUCAUAUUCAAACUGAACUUCCACAUGCAUAUAUUUUCUCAUAAGACGAACAAUGGAUGAGGUGAAAUUAGCUAAAAUCUGGCACUCAACAUGGGUUUUAGCCUCAGAAACAACCCCAUAAAUAACCAAUUUCCUCAAAUUGGGGCACCUAGCUAGGAGCCCUGCCACCCAGUCUGUAAAUUGAUCAUUGAUUACUGACCAUCCCAAUUCUAACACAGCAACGUUGUUAAACUGACAUGACCCAUGCAAGCCAUAAUGAAGAACCUCAUCUCUUAAAUCAUAAUUUAAUGACAGGUUGGUUAACCAAGGAAAGCAAACAGGCAUGUUGUCCAGAUCAACAACCUCAUCUUCAUCAUCAAAUACUACUCCCCAGAGCCGAAGCCUCACCAACUUUGAUGAUUUUGAUAUCAUAUUGUAGAACUUUGGCCCUGUGAUGGUGAAGUUGCUAACAUCCACAACCUCAAGGUUAGCUGUGCUCUCACCAAUAUCAAGUUGGAGGACACUUACAUCAUCAAUCUUUAGAACCCUCAAGGACCCCUUGCCAAUAAGCUCAAAGAGCUCCAGAGUACAAUCUUUCAAAUGCAACUUCUCAAGACUAUCGGCCUCCAAUAUGAAUUUGUCCAAACUAAUCGCUUCAACAUAAAUAUCCUUGAGUGAGGAACUGGUAAGUUCCAUAGUUGCCUGUGCAUCGGACAUGACAACAUCGGGAUUAAUAAGGGUCAAGGUCUCAAUUUUUGGACAGGCAGUCAGCAGAAGGCUUAAAUCCAAAGCAGAGAUACUAACAAAGCUCAAAGCGAGUGAUUUCAAGCAAGGAAAUUUCUGGUAACUGGGUUCAACACCUGCUAUGGAGUUAUGAGCUAAUGCCAACACUUCCAGCUUAUGCCGACCACAUUUCUCAAUUAUAUUAAUAUUUGGGGUGGUCCUCACAUUAUAAUACAACUCACGCAGUGUUUCCCUAGUAUACAUAAGCCAAGCAAUCACAGGGGCAGCCGAGAACUCAUCCGCAUCAUCCAUGAAAAUCGACAAACUUUGUAGUCCAGUUGUUUGGAAUAUGGUUUGAGUUAUGAGAAUUUCCAAUCUGCUGGUGGUGAGAUCAUGGUAAACAGGCCAGUCAUUGGAAUUGAAGGAAAGAGUGUGGAGGUGGGUACGCCAAGCUUCACGCCAUUUCUUGCAAGUGGUGGAUGCAAUGACAACAUCUCGGGCAGCCUUAAGCCGAGAUAGUAUGUUUCCUAUCACUUCAACAGGGAGGUGCUCCAUACCCAAAUGAAAAGAAGCACCAAAGGAAAACAAAGAGCUGCUAUUCUACUCAAAAUUGAACAUGGAGAAAUUUCAAGGCUAUCAUCUGUAAUUCUCACAGUUGAAUAAAAGGAAAAUUUAAAAAAAUAAAAUAAAGAUUGAUCAACUCUUCAAUGUUAAUCUGCCAAAGCAUUUUAGUAACAAUAAACUCUUCAAUCAACAAUUUCAACAAAAACCCAUAUGAAUCUCAUGCAUUUCUGCUAAUUUGGAAUUAAAAUAAGUAAAACUCAAAUUCAGUUGCUAAAAUUUCCUAAUAUAUUCAAUGAAUAUCAACAGAAAACCAAAGAAACCUUAUCAAACGCUAGAGAAAGAAUUGGGGAAGAAGACGUUUGAUAAGAAACUAGUAGGCAUGCUUAAACCUAAUUAGCCGAAUCGAAGAAGACAUCAUCCAAUGAGAAAAACCAAAGACAUAACUAAAAGUAUACGACAAAAAAGAAAAAGGAAAAAGAGAAUCUGGGCUUACCGAGUGCGAUUAUGAUGGUCGAAAGGAGCAACCAGAGAUACAAUCAAUGCGAGGGAUGCUUCAAGCUAUGCGCUACGCAGACAGGCACUCUCUCUGUUUCUCUCUUUCUGCCAUUCUCUCUUCCAGGAGUGCGUGUGCAAGAAAGCUUGAUUGUGUGGUCUUCCACUCGUGUGGGAACUGUGUAUUGCACGUGCGAUACGCGAGCAGUUGCAAGGAUAAAAA
rnacentral:misc_RNA from 1 species